rnacentral:misc_RNA from 1 species
UCCCAUGAAGCCCGUUGAAGACUACGACGUUGAUAGGUGAGGUGUGGAAGCGUAGUAAUGCGUGAAGCUAACUCAUACUAAUUGGCUGAUUGUCUUGACCAUAUAUCCUGAAUUGCUUCGGGUUGGGUUUGAGAACGAAGACAAGCUGUGCAAAAAAGCACAGGCGUUUGUGAGACCUGAUUAAUCAAUCUUUACCAGACUGUUAAGUUGGCCAAUGAUAACCAACUGACAGUAACCAGUUUUCCUGGCGACCAUAGCGGUUUGGAACCACCUGACUCCAUCUCGAACUCAGUAGUGAAACAGACCAGCGCCGAUGAUAGUGUGG